AUGGAAAAUAUUAUGACCAAUGUUUUCAUUGCUGGGCUCCCAGCGUGUGCCAUAUAUUUUCUUUACGCCAACAUUUAUUGCUCUUAUAAACGACUGAAAGCUAAUGUGGUGUUUGACAGUCGUCAGAGCAUUCCAAGUUUUGCCUACCUUUUUCUCAGAUAUGUAUUCAGAGCUCUUAUCAAAAGACAGGGGCAUUUGUACUUUUGCGAUAGAGAUGUCGAAGGUGAAGUUGCCUUCACCAUCUUUAACUGCAGGUUCAACAAGGAUCUACUGAGGAGGUUCUGUAGUGCAGCUGGAUAUGGCUGGGACUACCCAGACAUUGAGUUCAGGGAUAUCCCUCUGUGUUACCCAGACACCCUCUGUCUGCGGAUGCUUGACAUAUUAAUAUCUGCUGAGAAGUUCAGAUUGAGCCCUCUGGGUCUAGUCCGGCUACGUCAGAGUUUGAGAACAUGGCAGCCAAUAGAUGAGCUGAAGAAGGGACCCUUCAAGUUGCAGGCUCGUGUGUUAGAGUACAGGGUUGUUGAAGAUGGGGUGGAGGUUGACAUUUCUUUAACUGCCAUUUCACACACUGACCAGCCAGUAUGGGAGAGUGUUUUGACAAUGCUCUCCCAGGACAGAGGCCGAACACCAAACACACAACCUAAACCUGAGUGGUAUGAUGGUCACAUGGACACAUCAGAGCCAGAUGACGUGAAGGCGGUAGAUAUCAAUGUUCCCUGGACUACAGGACUGACGUUUGUGUGGGCUUUCUCUGACUACUCUCCACGUUGUCUCCUAACUCUUCCUGCUAAACUCUUGGGCUGCAGAUGUACCCCAACUCCUAGUCUAUGGAUGCUGUCUAAAUGCUUGGCUGAAAUUGAAAAGCACAAAGGAGUUGAUGCCAUUAGAGCCCCCAUCUCUGUCACCGCCCAGUUCAAGGAACCAUUGUUGGUACCAGGAAAAGUGACCAUCAAAUUUUGUGAGAGUGCGGGAGUGCAGUCCAAAUGUGUUAGCUUCCAAAUGGAGCAAUACGAGAGGAAGAUACCUCACAUCACGGGACAAAUCUGCAGGACUACUGUAGAGGAUGUGAAUUAA
rnacentral:lncRNA from 1 species